rnacentral:rRNA from 1 species
AAUCAACGCUGGCGGCGUGCCUCAGACAUGCAAGUCGAACGCGAAAGUCCCCUUCGGGGGGACGAGUAGAGUGGCGCACGGGUGAGUAACACGUAGGUAAUCUACCUUCGGAUGGGGAAUAACAAUCGGAAACGGUUGCUAAUACCGCAUAAUGCAGCGGCACCUAAUGGUGACAGUUGUUAAAGCGGGGGAUCGAAAGACCUCGCGUCUGAAGAGGAGCCUGCGGCGGAUUAGCUAGNGGUAAGGUAAUGGCUUACCAAGGCAACGAUCCGUAACCGGCCUGAGAGGGCGGUCGGUCACACUGACACUGACAUACGGGUCAGACUCCUACGGGAGGCAGCAGUCGGGUAAUUUUGGGCAAUGGGCGAAAGCCUGACCCAGCAACGCCGCGUGAAGGAUAGAAAUCCC